UAGGGAAUCUUCGGCAAUGGACGAAAGUCUGACCGAGCAACGCCGCGUGAGAGAAGAAGGUUUUCGGAUCGUAAAACUCUGUUGUUAGAGAAGAACAAGGACGUUAGUAACUGAACGUCCCCUGACGGUAUCUAACCAGAAAGCCACGGCUAACUACGUGCCAGCAGCCGCGGUAAUACGUAGGUGGCAAGCGUUGUCCGGAUUUAUUGGGCGUAAAGCGAGCGCAGGCGGUUUCUUAAGUCUGAUGUGAAAGCCCCCGGCUCAACCGGGGAGGGUCAUUGGAAGCUGGGAGGCUUGAGUGCAGAAGAGGAGAGUGGAAUUCCAUGUGUAGCAGUGAUGUGCGUAGAUAAAUGGAGGAACAACAGUGGCGAAGGCGGCUCUCUGGUCUGUAACUGACGCUGAGGCUCGAAAGCGUGGGGAGCAAACAGG
rnacentral:rRNA from 1 species